rnacentral:misc_RNA from 1 species
GAUGAAGAACGCAGCGAAACGCGAUAGUUAAUGUGAAUUGCAGAAUUCAGUGAAUCAUCGAAUCUUUGAACGCACAUUGCGCCCCUCGGUAUUCCGUGGGGCAUGCCUGUUCGAGCGUCAUUUAACCCCUCAAGCCUAGCUUGGUAUUGGGUGCUUGUCCCGCCUCUCGCGCGGCGACUCACCUCAAAGUCAUUGGCAGCCCGCAUCUCGCCGGCCGUGAGCGCAGCACAGACGCGCUCUUGGCAACGACGGAUCGGCUCUCCAAAAGCUUAUUUCAACCACUGACCUCGGAUCAGGUAGGGAUACCCGCUGAACUUAAGCAUAUCAAUAAGCGGAGGA